rnacentral:rRNA from 1 species
AUUGAACGCUAGCGGCAUGCCUUACACAUGCAAGUCGAACGGCAGCACGGGGGCAACCCUGGUGGCGAGUGGCGAACGGGUGAGUAAUGCAUCGGAACGUGCCCAUCGAUGGGGGAUAACUGCGCGAAAGCGUUGCUAAUACCGCAUACGACCUACGGGUGAAAGCAGGGGACCGCAAGGCCUUGCGUCGAUGGAGCGGCCGAUGCCGGAUUAGCUAGUUGGUGAGGUAAAGGCUCACCAAGGCGACGAUCCGUAGCUGGUCUGAGAGGACGACCCAGCCACACUGGGACUGAGACACGGCCCAGACUCCUACGGGAGGCAGCAGUGGGGAAUCUUGGACAAUGGGCGAAAGCCUGAUCCAGCAAUGCCGCGUGUGGGAAGAAGGCCCUCGGGUUGUAAACCACUUUUGGCGGGAAAGAAAUGGUCUGUGCUAAUACCACGGAUUGAUGACGGUACCCGCAGAAUAAGCACCGGCUAACUACGUG